rnacentral:rRNA from 1 species
CACCGGCGGCUCGAGUGGUAACCGCUAUUAUUGGGUCUAAAGGGUCUGUAGCCGGCCGACUAAGUCUCUUGGGAAAUCUGGCAUCUCAAGUGUCAGGCUGCCAGGGGAUACUGGUCGGCUUGGGACCGGGAGAGGUGAGAGGUACCUCAGGGGUAGGGGUGAAAUCUUGUGAUCCCUGAGGGACCACCAGUGGCGAAGGCGUCUCACUAGAACGGGUCCGACGGUCAGGGACGAAAGCUGGGGGCACGAACCGG